UGGCAUUAGGCCCAGGGUCUUCCCUAGUGGGUGGGAUAGGCUGGCAAGCUUUAGGGUGCUAUUGGGGCUAGGGCACCUUGCUUGCCUAGGUACUUGUUAUUAACAGGAGUGGGGAACCAAGUGCUUGGGGACAUAGUACUAGAGGCCAAAGGGGUGGGCCCAGGUCCUGCUAACUUCGUUCUUUGGGGUUUCUUUCCUUUUCCAGGCCUCAGUACGUGGUCCCUCAGACAAGAAGGAGGAGUAAAGACUUGGUUUUUCCCUGCCUGUAGCUGGCUUAUACUUGACCCAUGCUUACUGCUUCCUUGGAGCCCAGCCUGUCCCUCUGGUACUUGGUUUAUUCCCUUCCAUUUCCCCAAUUUUCUUCCAUGGCUUAUAGAUCAUUUUGGCCCCAUUACACAUACUACUCUUAUACCAAAAAGGACCUGAUUGUUGUUCAUUCACAGUAAUUUUGCCACUGUUCUGCCUGGCCAGGGCACUUUCCACUCCUAGAAGUGUAGAAAAGCACUGGUGACCUGGGCUGCACUUGUACUCCAUUUUAUUUUGCCAUGUAUCCUAAAAGAGGCUGCUGUUAAGCAGGUCAACUGUUUUAUCCUGAGGGGAAUAAAUGUUGUUAUGUU
rnacentral:lncRNA from 1 species